CCUGGUUGAUUCUGCCAGUAGUCAUAUGCUUGUCUCAAAGAUUAAGCCAUGCAUGUCUAAGUAUAAGCAAUUUAUACCGUGAAACUGCGAAUGGCUCAUUAAAUCAGUUAUCGUUUAUUUGAUAGUACUUUACUACUUGGAUAACCGUGGUAAUUCUAGAGCUAAUACAUGCUAAAAGCCCCGACUUCGGAAGGGGUGUAUUUAUUAGAUAAAAAACCAAUGCCCUCCGGGGCUCCUCGGUGAUUCAUAAUAACUUAACGAAUCGCACGGCCUUGUGCCGGCGAUGGUUCAUUCAAAUUUUUGCCCUAUCAACUUUCGAUGGUAGUAUAUGGGACUACCAUGGUUUCAACGGGUAACGGGGAAUUAGGGUUCUAUUCCGGAGAGGGAGCCUGAGAAACGGCUACCACAUCCAAGGAAGGCAGCAGGCGCGCAAAUUACCCAAUCCCGACACGGGGAGGUAGUGACAAUAAAUACUGAUACAGGGCUCUUUUGGGUCUUGUAAUUGGAAUGAGUACAAUUUAAAUCCCUUAACGAGGAACAAUUGGAGGGCAAGUCUGGUGCCAGCAGCCGCGGUAAUUCCAGCUCCAAUAGCGUAUAUUAAAGUUGUUGCAGUUAAAAAGCUCGUAGUUGAACCUUGGGCCUGGCUGGCCGGUCCGCCUCACCGCGUGCACUGGUCCGGCCGGGUCUUUCCUCCUGGGGAGCCACAUGCCCUUCACUGGGUGUGUUGGGGAACCAGGACUUUUACUUUGAAAAAAUUAGAGUGUUCAAAGCAGGCCUAUGCUCGAAUACAUUAGCAUGGAAUAAUAGAAUAGGACGUGUGGUUCUAUUUUGUUGGUUUCUAGGACCGCCGUAAUGAUUAAUAGGGAUAGUCGGGGGCAUCAGUAUUCAAUUGUCAGAGGUGAAAUUCUUGGAUUUAUUGAAGACUAACUACUGCGAAAGCAUUUGCCAAGGAUGUUUUCAUUAAUCAGUG
rnacentral:rRNA from 1 species